rnacentral:rRNA from 1 species
UAMUCCUACGGGAGGCAGCAGUGGGGAAUAUUGGWCAAUGGGCGCAAGCCUGAUCCAGCCAUGCCGCGUGAGUGAUGAAGGCCUUAGGGUUGUAAAGCUCUUUUAUCCGGGACGAUAAUGACGGUACCGGAGGAAUAAGCCCCGGCUAACUUCGUGCCAGCAGCCGCGGUAAUACGAAGGGGGCYAGCGUUGCUYGGAAUCACUGGGCGUAAAGGGCGCGUAGGCGGCGUUUUAAGUCGGGGGUGAAAGCCUGUGGCUCAACCACAGAAUGGCCUUCGAUACUGGGACGCUUGAGUAUGGUAGAGGUUGGUGGAACYGCGAGKGKAGAGGUGAAMUUSGUAGAUAUUCGCAAGAACACCGGUGGCGAAGGCGSCCAACUGGACCAUUACUGACGSUGAGGCGMGAAASCGUGGGGAGCAAACAGGAUUAGAYACCMWGGUAGUCCACGCCGUAAMCGAYGAAUSCCAGCUGUUGGGGUGCUUGCACCGCAGUAGCSCAGCUAACGCUUUGAGCAUUCCGCCUGGGGAGUACGGCCSCAAGAUUAAAACUCAAAGGAAUUGACGG